UCAUGAACUUUGGGUAAUGACCGAAAGAACAAGAUCGCAGAUACAAGCGGCUGAAAUGGGUUUCCUCCUCAGGGUGUCCGGGCUCAGCCUUAGAGAUAGGGUAAGGAGCUCGGACACUCGGGAGGCGCUCAGAGGAGAACCGCUGCUCCUCCACGUCCAGAGGAGUCAGUUGAGGUGGCUCGGGCAUCUGGUUAGGACGCCUUCUGGACGCCUCCCGUUAGAGGAGUUCCAGACAUGUCCCACCAGGAGGAGACCUCGUGGCCGGCCCAGGACCAGGUGGAGGGACUAUAUCUCUCGCCUGGACUGGGAAUCCCCCC